CCCGCUGAACUUAAGCAUAUCAAUAAGCGGAGGAAAAGAAACUAACAAGGAUUCCCCUAGUAACGGCGAGUGAAGCGGGAAGAGCUCAAAUUUAAAAUCUGGCGGUUUCACCGUCCGAGUUGUAGUCUAGAGAAGCAUCAUCUACGCUGGACCAUGUACAAGUCUCCUGGAACGGAGCGUCAUAGAGGGUGAGAAUCCCGUCUUUGACACGGACUACCAAGGCUUUGUGGUACGCUCUCGAAGAGUCGAGUUGUUUGGGAAUGCAGCUCUAAAUGGGUGGUAAAUUCCAUCUAAAGCUAAAUAUUGGCGAGAGACCGAUAGCAAACAAGUACCGUGAGGGAAAGAUGAAAAGAACUUUGGAAAGAGAGUUAAACAGUACGUGAAAUUGUUGAAAGGGAAACGCUUAAAGUCCAGUCGCGUUGGUUAGGAAUCAGCCUUGGUUUUCCUUGGUGCACUUCCUAGUCGACGGGUCAACAUCAGUUUUGACCGUUGGAUAAAGGUCAAGGGAAUGUGGCACCUUCGGGUGUGUUAUAGCCUUUGAUUGUAUACAGCGGUUGGGACUGAGGAACUCAGCACGCCGAAAGGCCGGGUCUUGUACCACGUUCGUGCUUAGGAUGUUGGCAUAAUGGCUUUAAUCGACCCGUCUUGAAACACGG
rnacentral:rRNA from 1 species